rnacentral:rRNA from 1 species
AACGAACGCUGGCGGCAUGCCUAACACAUGCAAGUCGAACGAGACCUUCGGGUCUAGUUGCGCACGGGUGCGUAACGCGUGGGAACCUGCCCUUAGGUUCGGAAUAACUCCUCGAAAGGGGUGCUAAUACCGGAUAAUGUCUUCGGACCAAAGAUUGAUCGCCUUUGGAUGGGCCCGCGUUGGAUUAGCUAGUUGGUAGGGUAAAAGCCUACCAAGGCGACGAUCCAUAGCUGGUCUGAGAGGAUGGUCAGCCACACUGGGACUGAGACACGGCCCAGACUCCUACGGGAGGCAGCAGUGGGGAAUAUUGGACAAUGGGCGAAGGCCUGAACCAGCAAUGCCGCGUGAGUGAUGAAGGCCUUAGGGUUGUAAAGCUCUUUUACCCGGGAUGAUAAUGACAGUACCGGGAGAAUAAGCUCCGGCUAACUCCGUG